UUUGAAUUGUAAAACAUGUUUAUGAUUGGUUUUAUGGGAUAGGUUCUCAGAAGAAGAAUUUAGUGUAAGAGGUCUAGUCUUUGAGAUACAAAAGUAAGAAUACUUCAUCAGGGUGUGCUAGAACUAGGAUCACUGGUUGGAUUUGUUUCAAGGAUAGUGGAUUCAUCACAUUGAGCUAGGCUCCAUAGACACAAGAAAAUAAAAUUGU
rnacentral:lncRNA from 1 species